UCUAUUUUCAAAUAGUGCGUCACCAACUCACCAUGUGAUAGCACUGGCAGAGUCAAUGCAUAAACAGCCCCAUCCUUCACCUUUCCACAUUCUUUAUGAAUUGGUCAAUGUUGUGAUAUUCUUGUCACAAUAUCCCUAUCUUUUUGAAAGAUUCAUGUUAAUAAUUUAAAAAUAGACACGAUAGAAAGUUGGAUUUUCAACCAAACUUUUUUUGAAAGUAUUGCAAUAGAUAACAAACUCAUUUGCCUUACGUUUUGGAGAUAAUUCUUUUGAUGAAUAAAUUUCAAGUUAGUUUUACCUCCUACUUCUACUUCUCUACUCAUCAAAUCAAAUGUCUUCCUCUACUGUAUAUCAGCUAGAUCAAUUUGAUUACAUUGAAAUCUGAAAGUUUUCACAUAUGAGGUUUUUCUUGUGAGUGCAAAAUAUGGUUAUGUUUCUCCAAAAAAUCAUGCACCACCAAAAGUGUGGUCUUGUGAAGAAGGAACGUCUGUUAGAGGCCACAGCUGAAUUGGAGUUUGAUUUCUCUUCUAUUAAUUGAUGAAGGGUAAUGAUCCAGUAUUUACAUUGCCACUAUUCAGAGGAGGAGGUUGCACAUAAAGAACAUAUUAAAAACAUAAAGUUUGUUAUCACAGUUUAAAUACAAGUCCAACAUCUUUAUAAAUUAAACAUUACAUAAAAAAGAAAAAAUUAUAUAUGUCUUUUAGAAAGAAAAAAAA